CCCCUGUAGUCUCUGAGCUAUCUCAGUGGCCCACAGAGCAUGUUACUUGUGUAUGUUACUUGGUGUUUACUUGUGGCUGUCACAUCGUCAUUGUCCAGUUCGGUAGCCUUUGUCAUUGGCAGGCUCCAUAACACUGUUCUGGUAGAAAUGCUGGUGAGUUUAUGCAAAUCUAGUAAAUUGCACCCAAGAGCCUGGAGUGGUGGUGUUCCCUUAAUUACUGCGCUUGUGGGGCAAACUCAGGUAGAUCUCUCUGAAUUUGAAGGCAGCCUGGUCGGCAUAGUGAGUUCUGUGGCUGCAUAGUCUCAAAAAAACACCAACACCCUCCCCCAAUAGAAUGUGACUCAAGAUCACAGUCAGGGAAAGCACAGUGAGAAGGGCUGCUCUCUGAGACACUGUUCCUGAGGGUUGUGUAGACCACUAGGGUUCUGGUGCGUCUAAAUAGAAUUUAAUUUUCAGUGCCAGCACUGAAAUGGCUGCUGUGGUCCACCCUAACCCGCCUUUUCCUGGUCCCAGCUUGCUAGAACUUUGAACAAAAUGGUACUUAAUUGUAGUUUUGAUUGGUGUGGUUACUGAUUUGUAAGUGCUCUUUACAUUUUAAGGAAACCAACCAUUUGUAUUGCAAACACUUCUGGUUUUCUCUGACUUUUAUAGUUUAUGAUAGUUUGCUGUUGUAGUAUUUUAAAUAUACACAUGUACUUGUUUAUUGGUA
rnacentral:lncRNA from 1 species